AUUGAACGCUGGCGGCAGGCCUAACACAUGCAAGUCGAACGGCAGCACAGAAGAGCUUGCUCUUUGGGUGGCGAGUGGCGGACGGGUGAGUAACACGUAGGAAUCUACCCAGUAGUGGGGGAUAACCUGGGGAAACCCAGGCUAAUACCGCAUACGCCCUGAGGGGGAAAGCGGGGGAUCUUCGGACCUCGCGCUAUUGGAUGAGCCUGCGUCGGAUUAGCUAGUUGGUGGGGUAAGGGCCCACCAAGGCGACGAUCCGUAGCUGGUCUGAGAGGAUGACCAGUCACACCGGAACUGAGACACGGUCCGGACUCCUACGGGAGGCAGCAGUGGGGAAUAUUGGACAAUGGGCGCAAGCCUGAUCCAGCCAUGCCGCGUGGGUGAAGAAGGCCUCGGUUGUAAGUUAC
rnacentral:rRNA from 1 species